GACACGGCCCAGACUCCUACGGGAGGCAGCAGUGGGGAAUAUUGCGCAAUGGGCGAAAGCCUGACGCAGCGACGCCGCGUGGGGGAUGACGGCCUUCGGGUUGUAAACCUCUUUCAGCAGGGACGAAGUUGACGUGUACCUGCAGAAGAAGCGCCGGCUAACUACGUGCCAGCAGCCGCGGUAAUACGUAGGGCGCAAGCGUUGUCCGGAAUUAUUGGGCGUAAAGAGCUCGUAGGUGGCUUGUCACGUCGGGUGUGAAAGCUUGGGGCUUAACUCCAGGUCUGCAUUCGAUACGGGCUGGCUAGAGGUAGGUAGGGGAGAACGGAAUUCCUGGUGUAGCGGUGAAAUGCGCAGAUAUCAGGAGGAACACCGGUGGCGAAGGCGGUUCUCUGGGCCUUACCUGACGCUGAGGAGCGAAAGCGUGGGGAGCGAACAGGAUUAGAUACCCUGGUAGUCCACGCUGUAAACGUUGGGCGCUAGGUGUGGGGACCUUCCACGGUUUCCGCGCCGUAGCUAACGCAUUAAGCGCCCCGCCUGGGGAGUACGGCCGCAAGGCUAAAACUCAAAGGAAUUGACGGGGGCCCGCACAAGCGGCGGAGCAUGUUGCUUAAUUCGACGCAACGCGAAGAACCUUACCAAGGCUUGACAUUGCCCGGAAACACUCAGAGAUGGGUGCCUCUUCGGAUCGGGUGACAGGUGGUGCAUGGCUGUCGUCAGCUCGUGUCGUGAGAUGUUGGGUUAAGUCCCGCAACGAGCGCAACCCUUGUUCAAUGUUGCCAGCACGCUCCUUCGGGGGUGGUGGGGACUCAUUGGAGACUGCCGGGGUCAACUCGGAGGAAGGUGGGGAUGACGUCAAGUCAUCAUGCCCCUUAUGUCUUGGGCUGCAAACAUGCUACAAUGGCCGGUACAGAGGGCUGCGAUACCGCAAGGUGGAGCGAAUCCCUAAAAGCCGGUCUCAGUUCGGAUUGGGGUCUGCAACUCGACCCCAUGAAGUCGGAGUCGCUAGUAAUCGCAGAUCAGCAACGCUGCGGUGAAUACGUUCCCGGGCCUUGUACACACCGCCCGUCACGUCACGAAAGUCGGCAACACCCGAAGCCCGUGGCCCAACCAGCUUGCUGGGGGGAGCGGUCGAAGGUGGGGCUGGCGAUUGGGACGAAGUCGAACAAGGUAGCCGUACCGGAAGGUGCGGCUG
rnacentral:rRNA from 1 species